rnacentral:rRNA from 1 species
UGGAGAGUUUGAUCCUGGCUCAGGACGAACGCUGGCGGCGUGCUUAACACAUGCAAGUCGAGCGGUAAGGCCCUUCGGGGUACACGAGCGGCGAACGGGUGAGUAACACGUGGGUGAUCUGCCUCGUACUCUGGGAUAAGCCUGGGAAACUGGGUCUAAUACCGGAUAUGACCGGGGAGUGCAUGCUCUUCGGUGGAAAGAUUUAUCGGUGCGAGAUGGGCCCGCGGCCUAUCAGCUUGUUGGUGGGGUAAUGGCCUACCAAGGCGACGACGGGUAGCCGGCCUGAGAGGGCGACCGGCCACACUGGGACUGAGACACGGCCCAGACUCCUACGGGAGGCAGCAGUGGGGAAUAUUGCACAAUGGGCGGAAGCCUGAUGCAGCGACGCCGCGUGCGGGAUGACGGCCUUCGGGUUGUAAACCGCUUUCGACAGGGACGAAGCGAGAGUGACGGUACCUGUAGAAGAAGCACCGGCCAACUACGUGCCAGCAGCCGCGGUA